AGAACGAACGCUGGCGGCAUGCCUAACACAUGCAAGUCGAACGAGACCUUCGGGUCUAGUGGCGCACGGGUGCGUAACGCGUGGGAAUCUGCCCUUGGGUUCGGAAUAACAGUUAGAAAUGACUGCUAAUACCGGAUGAUGACUUCGGUCCAAAGAUUUAUCGCCCAAGGAUGAGCCCGCGUAAGAUUAGGUAGUUGGUGGGGUAAAGGCCUACCAAGCCGACGAUCUUUAGCUGGUCUGAGAGGAUGAUCAGCCACACUGGGACUGAGACACGGCCCAGACUCCUACGGGAGGCAGCAGUGGGAAUAUUGGACAUGGGCGAAAGCCUGAUCCAGCAAUGCCGCGUGAGUGAUGAAGGCCUUAGGGUCGUAAAGCUCUUUACCCGGGAUGAUAAUGACAGUACCGGAGAAUAACGCCCCGGCUAACUCCGCGCCAGCAGCCGC
rnacentral:rRNA from 1 species